rnacentral:tRNA from 1 species
GCGGUCGUGGUGAACUGGGCGGACACGUCGAUCUUCCACAUCGAAGCAGCGGGUUCGAUGCCCGCCGACCGCU